rnacentral:tRNA from 1 species
AGGGGUAUAGUGUAACGGUAGCACAACUGACUCUGACUCAGUUAGUCUAGGUUCAAAUCCUAGUACCCCUG